rnacentral:rRNA from 1 species
AUCUAUAGCCAUGCCACCCUGAACAAGCCCAUUGUCUGAUUUUGGAAGUUAAGCAGGGUCCGGCCUGGUUAGUACUUGGAUGGGAGACCACCUAGGAAGGCCAGGUGCUGUAGGCA